UACAGAGGGGGCAAGCGUUGUUCGGAAUUACUGGGCGUAAAGCGCACGUAGGCGGAUUUGUAAGUCAGGGGUGAAAUCCCGAGGCUCAACCUCGGAACUGCCUUUGAUACUGCAAAUCUCGAGUCCGGAAGAGGUGAGUGGAAUUCCUAGUGUAGAGGUGAAAUUCGUAGAUAUUCGGAGGAACACCAGUGGCGAAGGCGGCUCACUGGUCCGGUACUGACGCUGAGGUGCGAAAGCGUGGGGAGCAAACAGG
rnacentral:rRNA from 1 species